AACAAGGAUUCCCCUAGUAACGGCGAGUGAAGCGGGAAGAGCUCAAAUUUAAAAUCUGGCAGUGUAUUCUGUCCGAGUUGUAGUCUAGAGAAGCAUCAUCCGUGCUGGACCAUGUACAAGUCUCUUGGAACAGAGCGUCAUAGAGGGUGAGAAUCCCGUCCUUGACAUGGACUCCCAGUACUUUGUGUUGUGCUCUCAACGAGUCGAGUUGUUUGGGAAUGCAGCUCAAAAUGGGUGGUAAAUUCCAUCUAAAGCUAAAUAUUGGCGAGAGACCGAUAGCGAACAAGUACCGUGAGGGAAAGAUGAAAAGCACUUUGGAGAGAGAGUUAAACAGUACGUGAAAUUGUUAAAAGGGAAAC
rnacentral:rRNA from 1 species